UACGUAGGUGGCAAGCGUUGUCCGGAUUUACUGGGUGUAAAGGGCGUGCAGCCGGGAGUGCAAGUCAGAUGUGAAAUCCCGCGGCUCAACCGCAGAACUGCAUUUGAAACUGUGCUUCUUGAGUGCUGGAGAGGCAGACGGAAUUCCUAGUGUAGCGGUGAAAUGCGUAGAUAUUAGGAGGAACACCAGUGGCGAAGGCGGUCUGCUGGACAGUAACUGACGGUGAGGCGCGAAAGCGUGGGGAGCAAACAGG
rnacentral:rRNA from 1 species